UGGAGGAGGUUGUGUCCUGGUGACUCUGGGGGCUCAGAUCACACCUAGGCUCUGGAACUGGAGAAACUUGGAUGCUUGUAUGCAGAGAUCCAAGCAUAGAAAAGCUCCAUCUGGGCCAGAGUGACCGGUCCUGACAAACGUCCUGUGUCUGCUUCUGCAGACCUCUCCAUUGAGACUGCUGGGAUGGGAUGAGGGGUGAUGUAAGUGUGUGUGCAUCACUGAGGAGCUGGCUGAUGGUCUCCAGAGCCAGAUGAUUUCUGAAGUCAGACCUCCUGCACUGUCUCCUUUGGUUCCUGGUCCCUCUCAUCCCAGCCUUUGGAGGAUCUUGGAUAACGAGGAGAAGGAUGCUGCCUCUGUGGUCCUCUCCAUGCCCAGGUGGAGCUGCCAGCCUGCCCCAGCUGCGAUUCCCGGUUGCUCUGUUAAAAUCCACUCUGCCACUGAGCAGCUCUCAUCGGAAGGUCUCAGGC